CGCGUAGGCGGCCUGGUAAGUCAGAUGUGAAAGCCCGGGGCUCAACCCCGGAAGUGCAUUUGAUACUGCCAGGCUUGAGUAUGGGAGAGGGAAGUGGAAUUCCUGGUGUAGAGGUGAAAUUCGUAGAUAUCAGGAGGAACACCGGUGGCGAAGGCGACUUCCUGGACCAAUACUGACGCUGAGGCGCGAAGGCGUGGGGAGCAAACAG
rnacentral:rRNA from 1 species